GACAGAGGUGCCAAGCGUUAGGCGGAAUCACUGGGCUUAAAGCGUGUGUAGGCGGGUGGCUAAGUAACUUGUGAAAUCCCACGGCUCAACCGUGGAACUGCUCGGUAUACUGGGUGCCUUGAGCCACUUAGGGGCUACCGGAACAAAUGGUGGAGCGGUGAAAUGCGUAGAUAUCAUUUGGAACGCCAAUGGUGAAAACAGGUAGCUGGGAGUGUGCUGACGCUGAGACACGAAAGCCAGGGGAGCGAACGGG
rnacentral:rRNA from 1 species